rnacentral:rRNA from 1 species
CCUACGGGAGGCAGCAGUGAGGAAUAUUGGUCAAUGGGCGCGAGCCUGAACCAGCCAAGUAGCGUGAAGGAUGACUGCCCUACGGGUUGUAAACUGCGUUUAUAAAGGAAUAAAGUGAGGCACGUGGGCCUGUUUGUAUGGACGUUAUGAAUAAGGAUCGGCUAACGCCGUGCCAUCAGCCGCGGUAAUACGGAGGAGGCGAGCGUUAUCCGGAUUUAUUGGGGUUACAGGGAGCGUAGAUGGGUUGUUAAGUCAGUUGUGAAAGUUUGCGGCUCAACCGGAAAAUUGCACUUGAUACUGGCAGUCUUGCGUACAGUUGAGGUAGGCGGAAUUCGUGGUGUAGCGGU